CGAGAGUUGGAUCGUUCCCCUUAAAAACAACAGAGAGAUCGAUCCGAGAGCGGAACGGGGAACGUUAGAAGAUACAUACAACCUGUGUUCUCCCCUCCGAAACCUAGCGUCGUCAAUCCUCUGCUCUCUCCCUCCAUAUGCCGGACCGGCGGACCCUAGGCGGCGGCGCAUCGAAACCCUAAACCCUAAACCCUCGCGUCCAAUUAAAUCUCGCUGCCGCGAAUUCCGUUCAGCUACUUCAAAGGCGCGACCUUAUCGGAGCCAUCUCAUGGGGCUUGCUGUGUUGCCUCCUAAUAGUAUCCUCGUACAUGAUGCUAUACUUCAGGCACUUCUGGUUAUCAGCCGUCAUCAUCUCCGUCGGCAUCCUUCUUCCCGCCGGCCUGUAUAUUUUGAGGCAGAGAAAGCUGGCUAAGAAAAGAGAGCGGAGAUUAUUGUUGCCUCUCUCCAUGUAAGGUUAUCAUUACAUUGUAGUGGUAGGUUCCCCCCGAUUUUGCGGUUGUUCUUGACUAGACAGAAUCCGCAUUCCGGGCUUGCUUGGCACACAUCCAAACAGUUUGAUAGGCCUCUGCUGCCUAGUAUACGUCCACCAUAUUCUUUAGUCUUCACUAAAGUGCUGGAAGAAGUACACCAUCAAUUUUUGAUGCUCCAGUGUUGGGCGAAUGGAUACACCAGCUUGUGUGUUUCUGCUGCGGUUUGUUUUCCUCUUCUUCCUUUUUUCUUUUAAUGGUGCUUGCAGCCUGACAAGGUAUCUCGAUGUAUCCGACCGCCCCGAGUCACACUUUUGUAACUAAAGAAGAAUAGAUUGUUUUGUUGUUCUGAUGGAAUUUGUGAGCUUCAUGUCC